rnacentral:rRNA from 1 species
ACGAACGCUGGCGGCGUGCCUAAUACAUGCAAGUUGAGCGCUGAAGGUUGGUACUUGUACCCACUGGAUGAGCAGCGAACGGGUGAGUAACGCGUGGGGAAUCUGCCUUUGAGCGGGGGACAGCAUUUGGAAACGAAUGCUAAUACCGCAUAAAAACUUUAAACACAAGUUUUAAGUUUGAAAGAUGCAAUUGCAUCACUCAAAGAUGAUCCCGCGUUGUAUUAGCUAGUUGGUGAGGUAAAGGCUCACCAAGGCGAUGAUACAUAGCCGACCUGAGAGGGUGAUCGGCCACAUUGGGACUGAGACACGGCCCAAACUCCUACGGGAGGCAGCAGUAGGGAAUCUUCGGCAAUGGACGAAAGUCUGACCGAGCAACGCCGCGUGAGUGAAGAAGGUUUUCGGAUCGUAAAACUCUGUUGGUAGAGAAGAACGUUGGUGAGAGUGGAAAGCUCAUCAAGUGACGGUAACUACCCAGAAAGGGACGGCUAACUACGUG